rnacentral:rRNA from 1 species
CCUACGGGUGGCAGCAGUGAGGAAUAUUGGUCAAUGGUCGGGAGACUGAACCAGCCAAGCCGCGUGAGGGAUGAAGGUACAGUGUAUUGUAAACCUCUUUUGUCAGGGAACAAAGGCGGGGACGUGUCCCCGGAUGAGUGUACCUGAAGAAAAAGCAUCGGCAAACUUCGGGCCAGCGGCCGCGGUUAUACGGGGGAGGCGAGCGGUAUCCGGAUUUAUUGGGUUUAAGGGGUGCGUAGGCGGACUGUUAAGUCAGCGGUAAAAGCCCGGGGCUCAACCCCGGCCCGCCGUUGAAACUGGCAGUCUCGAGUGGGAGAGAAGUAUGCGGAAUGCGCGGUGUAGCGGUGAAAUGCAUAGAGAUCGCGCAGAACUCCGAUUGCGAAGGCAGCAUGCCGGCGCCACACUGACGCUGAGGCACGAAAGCGUGGGUAUCGAACAGGAUUAGAUACCCUUGUAGUC